rnacentral:precursor_RNA from 14 species
UUCAGAAUGCUGUUAUUGUGUUGUAUUUAACCUCACUGUUUGGUGUAAGUGUGGUAGAAUAUGAAACCCAUUGCACUGAACAGUGGGGCUUGAUGCAAAACACUUUAUAAUGGAGUUUGC